CGAAUGCUGACAUAAGUAACGAUAAAGCGGGUGAAAAGCCCGCUCGCCGGAAGACCAAGGGUUCCUGUCCAACGUUAAUCGGGGCAGGGUGAGUCGACCCCUAAGGCGAGGCCGAAAGGCGUAGUCGAUGGGAAACAGGUUAAUAUUCCUGUACUUGGUGUUACUGCGAAGGGGGGACGGAGAAGGCUAUGUUGGCCGGGCGACGGUUGUCCCGGUUUAAGCGUGUAGGCUGGUUUUCCAGGCAAAUCCGGAAAAUCAAGGCUGAGGCGUGAUGACGAGGCACUACGGUGCUGAAGCAACAAAUGCCCUGCUUCCAGGAAAAGCCUCUAAGCAUCAGGUAACAUCAAAUCGUACCCCAAACCGACACAGGUGGUCAGGUAGAGAAUACCAAGGCGCUUGAGAGAACUCGGGUGAAGGAACUAGGCAAAAUGGUGCCGUAACUUCGGGAGAAGGCACGCUGAUAUGUAGGUGAAGCGACUUGCUCGUGGAGCUGAAAUCAGUCGAAGAUACCAGCUGGCUGCAACUGUUUAUUAAAAACACAGCACUGUGCAAACACGAAAGUGGACGUAUACGGUGUGACGCCUGCCCGGUGCCGGAAGGUUAAUUGAUGGGGUUAGCGGUAACGCGAAGCUCUUGAUCGAAGCCCCGGUAAACGGCGGCCGUAACUAUAACGGUCCUAAGGUAGCGAAAUUCCUUGUCGGGUAAGUUCCGACCUGCACGAAUGGCGUAAUGAUGGCCAGGCUGUCUCCACCCGAGACUCAGUGAAAUUGAACUCGCUGUGAAGAUGCAGUGUACCCGCGGCAAGACGGAAAGACCCCGUGAACCUUUACUAUAGCUUGACACUGAACAUUGAGCCUUGAUGUGUAGGAUAGGUGGGAGGCUUUGAAGUGUGGACGCCAGUCUGCAUGGAGCCGACCUUGAAAUACCACCCUUUAAUGUUUGAUGUUCUAACGUUGGCCCCUGAUCGGGGUUGCGGACAGUGUCUGGUGGGUAGUUUGACUGGGGCGGUCUCCUCCUAAAGAGUAACGGAGGAGCACGAAGGUUGGCUAAUCCUGGUCGGACAUCAGGAGGUUAGUGCAAUGGCAUAAGCCAGCUUGACUGCGAGCGUGACGGCGCGAGCAGGUGCGAAAGCAGGUCAUAGUGAUCCGGUGGUUCUGAAUGGAAGGGCCAUCGCUCAACGGAUAAAAGGUACUCCGGGGAUAACAGGCUGAUACCGCCCAAGAGUUCAUAUCGACGGCGGUGUUUGGCACCUCGAUGUCGGCUCAUCACAUCCUGGGGCUGAAGUAGGUCCCAAGGGUAUGGCUGUUCGCCAUUUAAAGUGGUACGCGAGCUGGGUUUAGAACGUCGUGAGACAGUUCGGUCCCUAUCUGCCGUGGGCGCUGGAGAACUGAGGGGGGCUGCUCCUAGUACGAGAGGACCGGAGUGGACGCAUCACUGGUGUUCGGGUUGUCAUGCCAAUGGCACUGCCCGGUAGCUAAAUGCGGAAGAGAUAAGUGCUGAAAGCAUCUAAGCACGAAACUUGCCCCGAGAUGAGUUCUCCCUGAGACUUUAAGUCUCCUGAAGGAACGUUGAAGACGACGACGUUGAUAGGCCGGGUGUGUAAGCGCAGCGAUGCGUUGAGCUAACCGGUACUAAUGAACCGUGAGGCUUAACCUU
rnacentral:rRNA from 1 species